rnacentral:rRNA from 1 species
AGUGAACGCUGGCGGUAGGCCUAACACAUGCAAGUCGAACGGCAGCACAGUAAGAGCUUGCUCUUACGGGUGGCGAGUGGCGGACGGGUGAGGAAUACAUCGGAAUCUACUUUUUCGUGGGGGAUAACGUAGGGAAACUUACGCUAAUACCGCAUACGACCUACGGGUGAAAGCAGGGGAUCUUCGGACCUUGCGCGAUUGAAUGAGCCGAUGUCGGAUUAGCUAGUUGGCGGGGUAAAGGCCCACCAAGGCGACGAUCCGUAGCUGGUCUGAGAGGAUGAUCAGCCACACUGGAACUGAGACACGAUCCAGACUCCUACGGGAGGCAGCAGUGGGGAAUAUUGGACAAUGGGCGCAAUCCUGAUCCAGCCAUACCGCGUGGGUGAAGUAGUCCUUCGGGUUGUGAAGCCCUUUUGUUGGGAAAGAAAAGCAGCAGGUUAAUACCCCGCUGUUCUGACGGUACCCAAAGAAUAAGCACCGGCUAACUUCGUG